CCUACGGUGUGCAGCAGUGAGGAAUAUUGGUCAAUGGGCUUACGCCUGAACCAGCCAAGUCGCGUGAGGGAAGACUGCCCUAUGGGUGGUAAACCUCUUUGGUCAGGGAGCAACGCCGGCUAGGUGUAGCCGGACUGAAGGUACCUGAAGAAAAAGCAUCGGCUAACUCCGUGCCAGCAGACGCGGGAAUACGGAGGAUGCGAGCGUUAUCCGGAUUGAUUGGGUGUAAAGGGUGCGUAGGCGGAAGACCAAGUCAGCGGUAAAAUCGAGGGGCUCAACCUAGCUCCGCCGUUGAAACUGGCGUUCUUGAGUGGGCGAGAAGUAUGCGGAAUGCGUGGUGUAGCGGUGAAAUGCAUAGAUAUCACGCAGAACUCCGAUUGCGAAGGCAGCAUACCGGCGCCCAACUGACGCUGAAGCACGAAAGCGUGGGUAUCGAACAGGAUUAGAUACCCCGAGUAGUC
rnacentral:rRNA from 1 species